GCUGGGCACGGUGGCUCACGCCUGUAAUCCCAGCACUCUGGGAGGCUGAGGUGGGUGGAUCACCUGAGGUCAGGGGUUCUGAGACCAGCCUGACCAACACGGUGAAACCUCGUCUCUA
ensembl:misc_RNA Metazoa_SRP Metazoan signal recognition particle RNA